GACGAACGCUGGCGGCGUGCUUAACACAUGCAAGUCGAACGGAAAGGCCCUGCUUUUGUGGUGUGCUCGAGUGGCGAUCGGGUGAGUAACACGUGAGUAACCUGCCCUUGUCUUUGGGAUAACUUCAGGAAACUGGGGCUAAUACCGGAUAGGAGCUCCUGCUGCAUGGUGGGGGUUGGAAAGUUUCGGCGGUUGGGGAUGGACUCGCGGCUUAUCAGCUUGUUGGUGGGGUAGUGGCUUACCAAGGCUUUGACGGGUAGCCGGCCUGAGAGGGUGACCGGCCACAUUGGGACUGAGAGACGGCCCAGACUCGUACGGGAGGCAGCAGUGGGGAAUAUUGCACAAUGGGCGGAAGCCUGAUGAAGCAACGCCGCGUGCGGGAUGACGGCCUUCGGGUUGUAAACCGCUGUCGCCUGUGACGAAGCGUGAGUGACGGUAAUGGGUAAAGAAGCACCGGCUAACUACGUG
rnacentral:rRNA from 1 species